rnacentral:lncRNA from 1 species
GGCUGCUCUCUAGCAGGCCUGGGCCUGCCCGCCCUUGCUGUCCUCCCUGGGGAGCUGGGGUAGAGGCCUGACUCCUGGUACUACUGGUACUCACAGGACUGGCCACCCUGGGAGGCUUCUAAGCAGCAGGGAGAGGGUGUGGAAUGUCUCUUGACAUUUGAGGCCUGCUCUCAAAACCAGUGCCAGAACCUGCAGAGCCCGGUGGUGCCGGUGCCGGCAGGAACCAAGUGAGCUCUGGUUUCAUUGGUGAGUGGGUGGGCCCAGCCUCACCUCGAGAUGGCACAGGAAGAUGCUGGUUGCAGAAACUCAUGAGUUGGCACACACCUGGGUAACCACCUUCGAAGGCCGGUGAGGCACUGCAUCUGACAAGAUGGCCAGGGAGAGCAAGGCCUGGUAGAUGCCUUUUUAUAGAUGUGUGUGCACCACGCAUGAGAAGUCCAAGGACGGAGCUGCCUUCACAUCUGAGCCUGACUCUGUCAUCCCUCAGGGACUAUUUACUGACCUCGCUUUGGUUGCAGUAUUCUCCAUUAAGGUGGUAUGGAAGGUUACCUACAAUUGCUUCCCCAGCACAUGGCUUCAUCAUCCACACUUUGGUAAACAGAGAAGAAUAUGGCCUAUUUCCUUGGGAGAGAACUGCGUGCCUGUCCCAACCCUGCUGACUACUCACAGAACCACACUACUCUGAGGCAUAAAACCUUUGACCAACAUAAUUUUUUUACAUCCCCAAAAUAUUAAAAAUCAACCUCAUUUAAAUUGUU